CCCGUCGGGCGGUGCCUGCCGCCGCCCCCGCUCCCAGCAGCCCUUGCAAACGCCUACAAUGAAAUUUGCGAAGUUUUUUCGGUUUCGGCGCCAUUUUCGAGUGGACUCGGAGGAAUCGUGCUUCCAGAUCUGUCCCUUGUUGUUUAAAACUGGAUGAGAUGACAAUGCAAAAACUGGAAGUAACAAGAAGCAUCAUACUUUUCUUCUCCUCAGCAGUGCUGAGAAAAAACUGUGGAUCCUGGAAUUUUACUGUGGAUUUUACUGGUUUUCUGGAGCACUGUAAGUUGAAGUCGGAUCCUGCAGGCCUUUGCGAGCACCAGGAGCUUUCCCUCCUGUUACCAGGCCCGUCUUGGUAAAUGCGGUCAGUCCUGCUAGGAGCAGAGUUUGGGUCAAGUUUCGAGUCGAGUAAAAUUAACGAAUUUGUUUUUUGCAUGGACUGAAUUCACCCGGUGUAGCUGCAGCGUGGCUCCGGGUGUUCUGCCCUGAGCAAGGGCGCGUUGAAGCGGCGCGGGCUGACACGCAGAGGUACGUGCUGCUGGAACCCACGUGUGGCUCUCCUAGGCUGUAAUUCAGAUGAAACGCAAGCUGCUUCUCUGACCCUUUUUCUGAGCAGAUUAGUGAGGGGAAAAAUAAUUUAAAUAAAGUGCAUGAGAAAUCACCAGCUCUCAUCCAGGUUUGACAUGUGAACGUUAGUUAAAAUGUAUAUAUUUUAUGCAUUAUUUUUUUUUCGUGGCCCAGUAAGAAGUCUUAGCUGAGCAAAACACCUGUAGCAGGGAUUUUCAUGUGGCAUUUGCACACCCGGGAGAGGAGAUGCGCUGUAGGCACCCAUACAAAUGAAAGUAACCUCGCUGCGUGCAGCUCCCGCGUCUGGCUGCUCGUGCUGCCUGGUCGUCAUCGCUCUUCACGCAGCCUUAGCUCCGCUUCGGCUGCUCUGUGAGUCGGGUUGUAUCGGAAACGUAAUAGCUGGAAACAUGUGGUGGCUGUCGGUCAAACGGCGGGUCCGAUUCCAGCUAUUAGCCACAUCUGUAAAUAUUAAGACGUGACUUUGUUUAAAUUUCAUUGUUCAAACGAAGGCAGGAAUGAAAGUGGUGUGAUUUUUCAGAUCCAGUCAGAUAUGAAGUGUUUCAGUGGUGCUACUCGCCGCCUUGUUUUCAUCUUGUUACUAUAAUUGUGAGCAUCUCACUUAUCAAUGUUUGGGACCUUCAGCUGUAACAAGAUGAUUUAUUUUAUUUUUUUUUGUAAAAUAGUAAAUGCUUUUUUUAUUUUUUUUUUUUUUAAGUGAGAACAAUGAUUUCAGUAUUUAUUUGUGCAUGUCUCCUAAAAAAAAAAAAGUGUUGAAUAGCAUUGGUUUUUUUUAUUAUUUUAUUUUUUUCCAUCCUUAAUGUAUAUAUAGGAAAUACUUAACAUUUACGUGUCUCUGAGCUUACCUAGCCCUGGAGAGGGUGUGAGUCAGUGAGGGCAUGUAUGCAAAUCUGUCCUGUCGUGGGCUCAUAUAUUUAUUUCCUUUCCUUUCCCCUGGUGCUCUUUCGCACUCUUUUUUUCUUACUUUUUUCUUUUUUUUUUGUUUUUCUUGUUAGAGUGUUGUAAGGAAGGUUUAAACUACAUUUUAAGGGAUCCCUGUAUUUCAGGGUGAAUCUCUUUGUGUUUGAGCUUAGGAUUUUUUUUUUUUUGGGGGGGGGGGGGCUUUUUACUUAGUUGCCCAAUAUAUUUUGGCAAGCAGAAAUUGCAUUGUUUUGUGAACUGCGUUAAUAGAUUUCUGCAUGUUCAAUUUUCCCAGUUAUUUGGAAGAUUUAAUUAAACCUCCGUAGGUGGCAGGCUUACAUAUUUGACAGGUAGAAGUCUUGAUUUCUAGAAAUAGCUGGCGCGUGAACUGCAGGGGCAGAGGUGUUGCGAUGGCUUUGCAUUGAGAUGCAGCGUUUGGGGGUGAUUCCCUUGGUGUUUGGGGCUGCCAGCACAGCAGGGCAGGGCUGGUGUCACCCACAUGUCCCUGCAGCGUCGGGGUCGUUAGUGUACUUUGUGUACAGUCUCCAAGAAGAACACUCCUUGCAACUCUGGAGGUGGAAAGCUGUUUGUUUGGUGUCUGUUUGUUUGUUUGUUUUUCCCCCUAAUUUUGUGCCCACCCAAACCUUUGCUGCGUUCAUGUGGCGAAGUGACCUCAGUGAGGUGACAGCCACAGCCUGGUGCCCCCACCCGACGCACAGCACUUGCAUGAGCAUUUCGUAAACCUUUUGUGUUGCUUUCCAGCUCCCGCUGGAGCAGUGACUGCCCUGCAGAAGGAGUUGAGGUGUCAGCGCUCAUAGGUGAGUAGGGAAGGUAAGUGCCAGCACCCAUGCCUGGCCCGCUGUGAGGCACUCGCAGCAUCCGCCUCCCUCUGGGUCAGUGCAGGUCCUCUGGGAGAGGUCAAGGUGAAACUCCAGUCGGCUGCCGUCCUUCUGACUUAAUAGUGAGAACCCAGAACACAAAGCAAGCUUGAAACAUUCUGGAAAAAAGCUCAAGCGUGAGAUGAGGUGAUUCAAACACGGAGCUUAGUAUUGCUUCAUGUCAUUAUUUUGUCAUGGCAAAAACACACACAUUUUCUCAGAUACAUAUUUCAUUGCCUGUCCCAAAUUUCCAGGUGCUCAGUGUGAGUGUUGCUCGUCUUUGGCAUGUAUUGAAACCUCACCUGGGGAAACUCAUCCUUACUUGAAGAGCUCUUGCACCAUCUUGUCAAACUAGACUAGAAACUUUCUUAUUUUUGUCUAUAUAUGUAUACAUGUGUAUGUAUACAAGUGUAUUUUAUUUUGUGUGUGUGUGUAUACGUAUAUAUAUAUAUAUAAAUAGAAAUUUGUUAAAAGGUGAACCCCAAACACAGUCAAAAGAGAUUCUAAAACUGAACUUGUUUACUAUUGCUUUUUGUUUCUUUGAGCCCCUUGAAGAGAUGAAAGAAAUAAGACUACACAGGUACGGUCAUGUCAAAGUGUUAAAGAAAAAAAGGUAAAAUUAUGUGGGGGGUUGUUUUGUAUUGGCUUGUACAGGUCUGACUUUGGGUACUUGUUAGCUGCUUUGCGGUAAAUAGCAGUUGCUCUUUAUAGAGUUGGAGCUAGUGCUAUCAGUAUUGAGGACACUGAAGUGGGUGAAAAAAAGAGUUGUUGGCAAAAAAUUGCAUUGGCAAAUAUUUAAUUUAAAAUUUGAAAUAAUUUGGCACAGGUCCUGAAACCUUUUGAAAUUCCUAUUUUUAAGUUUGCUAAAAAGGCAAGGACUACUGAGAGGUGGACAAACUGGAACUCAGAUAACCAGCGUGCUUACUGCAAGGGACGGCACGAGGAUUUGAACUAAUUGCGUCAUUUCUGACAUUGUUCUCUUUUUUUGUGAUGCUGCUUUUUAAGAAAAUGAAUUGAAGGAAGUUGUCACAUAACUGGAAAAAAAGUCAAAAGGAAACACAAAAAUGUCAGGCUAUCUGCACGGCUUCUGUAUGGGUACUUGCAAGGGCCUCUGGCGGCUCCGUGCUUCAGAGUUACAGCUGCUCUCUGCCCUGCGCUGUCAGGUUUCUGCUCAGGUACAGGGAGGGGAGGUGAUGAAGUUUCAGAGUAUCUUUAAUUUCUGGCUGCAUACGAUUUAUCCGUUCAAAUAGUAAAUGAGCAUAAUACAGUGGUUUUUUAAUUAAAAAAAAAAAGGGGGGGUGGUAUUUCCCAAAAGUCAAAGUAGUUUAAGGAGAUUUUAACAGGUUUGCCCUGUUGGAACGUGUAUUUAAAUACUAGCAUUGCAACUCCUGGAAAACACACGAUGUUCAGCAGCUGCUCAGAGGAAGGUACAGUGUGACAUCUCCAGAGAGAGUGUUUGGAAGGGCCGGAAAGGUCUGCAGGAUCUUUACAGCACCAAAAGCAGCAGAUCUAGAUCUGAAAGUGUAGAUUUGCCAAGACCCAAGUGUUGUGUUGUUGGGGGGUGGGAGGGAUGGCUGAUUUCUGUUUGUUUGUUUGCACUGUGUAACUGCUUGUUCUUUAUAGUUACAGACUUUAAGGUAGCACCUGUGAAGGAAAAAAAAAAAAAGUCCCGUGGUGGUAAUGCAUGCACGUUAAAUGUCUUCAUUGUAGAGUGUUCUUCAGUACCUUAUAUCAUGGUUUUUUAAAAAAAAAAAUCAAAAUACCAUUUGGAAUGUCAACAUUCAGUGGGCUUUGAGGAGAUGUAGCAGCACAUCAUGGUUUGUAGGGACAAGGAGAUACAGACCAUUCUGGGCUGCCUCAUUACCUCAAGGAUAAGACAAGAAAGUGAGCUUCUGGUUAUCAUAGAUGUGGAAGCUAACGCAUUCCCAUGUAUCUCUUUAGUUCAGUUGAACAGGUAUGUGUAGAUAAGUCUUCUCGGUGCUGACGUGCACAUCUUUGCAGCUACAAAUACCUGCCGUGUGAGUCUGCAUUUGUGUGUCUCAGUGGGGCUGGCCCUGCAGGCAGAAGGACUUGCAGCUCCUUUUGUUCUUCAGGGCGGGGAUGGCUUGAUCUUGGCUUGAGCAUAAUGCCUCUGGCUGGCAUGUUACCCCUCAAGCCCUGCUCAAGGUAAUGCUCCUGCUCUUCAGCCUUUGCCCCGGCAAAAGGAUUGGCCAGGUACUCUCCCCCAUAGUUUUUGGGGGUCCUGGGAGGGAGGGGGUGGAUCUGGAGGCCGUGGAGAGGUGCUAGGAUGGAAAAGCUGUCAGCAGUGCUCUAGCAGCACGUAAAUACUGGAGUUUGGGAUUGCCUGUUGCUCUCCAGUAUUGCAUUGCUGCUUUAGUGAGGCUGGAAAUCGGUCCCUGGCUCCUGGGGUGCCUCCCUGGCACAGCUCCCCGUGCCUCCACCCUGCUGCUGGGGGGGCUCCCAUCUCCCACACCAAUAAACCACUGCGGAGGCAGCGACGAA